rnacentral:miRNA from 1 species
GUGAGAACUCUGAGGAUAAG